CGGGUGAGUAACACAUCGGAACGUGCCCAGUAGUGGGGAUAACCCGGCGAAAGCCGGACUAAUACCGCAUACGACCUACGGGUGAAAGCAGGGGAUCGCAAGACCUUGCGCUAUUGGAGCGGCCGAUGUCAGAUUAGCUAGUUGGCGGGGUAAGAGCCCACCAAGGCGACGAUCUGUAGCUGGUCUGAGAGGACGACCAGCCACACUGGGACUGAGACACGGCCCAG
rnacentral:rRNA from 1 species